CCUGGCUCAGAUUGAACGCUGGCGGCAGGCCUAACACAUGCAAGUCGAGCGGUAGCACAAGAGAGCUUGCUCUCUGGGUGACGAGCGGCGGACGGGUGAGUAAUGUCUGGGAAACUGCCUGAUGGAGGGGGAUAACUACUGGAAACGGUAGCUAAUACCGCAUAACGUCUUCGGACCAAAGUGGGGGACCUUCGGGCCUCACGCCAUCAGAUGUGCCCAGAUGGGAUUAGCUAGUAGGUGGGGUAAUGGCUCACCUAGGCGACGAUCCCUAGCUGGUCUGAGAGGAUGACCAGCCACACUGGAACUGAGACACGGUCCAGACUCCUACGGGAGGCAGCAGUGGGGAAUAUUGCACAAUGGGCGCAAGCCUGAUGCAGCCAUGCCGCGUGUGUGAAGAAGGCCUUCGGGUUGUAAAGCACUUUCAGCGAGGAGGAAGGGUAGUGUGUUAAUAGCACAUUGCAUUGACGUUACUCGCAGAAGAAGCACCGGCUAACUCCGUGCCAGCAGCCGCGGUAAU
rnacentral:rRNA from 1 species